rnacentral:tRNA from 1 species
AAAGUUUUAAGUUAAAAAAACUAUUAACCUUCAAAGUUAAAAAUAUAUAAUUUAUAAACUUUA